rnacentral:misc_RNA from 1 species
UGCCGUUAGAUUGAGAGCUUGUAGAGAAAGCCGAAAGAAAGAUUAGGGCUAUAUGAGUAAACCUGACGGUAUGAACAAGCUGCAGUAGGGGGUGUGUUUGUCCGGAGAUUCAAGAUUGGAGUGAAGUCUGAACCUUUAUCUGCGUCAAGAAACUUUUCUGGGACCAACAUGCAACAGGGUGGGAGAUCUGAAGCCGAGGUGACUUGGGAGGAUCAGCAGAAUAUCAACAAGUUCGGUAGAUUAAACAACCGAUUUCACGAGCUGGAUGAUGAAGUCGAGAUCGCCAAGGAAACAAAUGAGAAUCUGGAGGAUGCAAGUAAUGAAUUGAUUCUUACUGAUGAGGAGGUGGUUCGUUUUCAAAUAGGAGAAGUCUUUGCUCAUGUUCCAAAGGAAGAAGUUGAAACCAGGAUAGAACAGAUGAGAUAGAACAGAUGAAAGAGGUGAGCAGUAAAAACUUGGAAAAACUUGAGGAAGAGAAGGAUUCGGU